GCUGGAGCUGCCUGCAGCCACCCGGGGACUCGGUCUGUGCCUCUUGACCUCCCCUCCAUCACCACAAACCCAGAAAGGGGCAACCUGCCCAGACUGCAAGUGACUAAAUGGGCACUCCAUGGCAUCUUAGCAACUCUCCUGCCCCAGGCCUCUGUGGGCAGCAAGAAAGCCAGAGCUAUCUAGGAUAAAACCCAGGAGGCAGCAUGUGGAGAUAAUGGGCGGUCUGACUCACCGCAAUCUGGCAGAUAAAGAGGAUACAACGCAGAGCGUACCAGCGCGCCCAGGUGGUCAAAAUAGUAACAUUUGCUCAUAUCCUCUUUUCAGGCAGCGACCUACCUGCUCCCAUAACUCUAAAUCUAAGGUUCCUUGAUCAGGAAACCAAGGGCAUCCCUGCCGAAUUAAAAGCAUAAGCUUGUGUAGAGCUCCAGGCUCUACAGUGCACUGGAUAGCCUUAAGUAGCUGUUGCACUGUUUUAAAAAAUACUUUCUGUUCUUUGGUCAUUUCCUGACCCAUGAUGACCCAACCCCUGGUAUUUUACGCGUGGGUCCCGUCCUCCUAAUGGCAAUCAGGACUGUCCCUUACUGGGAUUCCCCAAAAAUUAAGGAGUUUUCCUCCUUCACGUGCAACUUCAAGGCGAUCACUUCGGGCGCACCACUUGUAGAGUUUAUAGCUUGCAGUGAACGCCCAGAAUGAGUUCUCAGACAAUUCCAGCUGAGCGGAGCGGCGGACCACUCUUCUGAGAGAGUGUCACCCCAGAAUCCAUCCGCCAAGUAUUUAUUGAAAGGGCUUGUUAAACUACAAACAUCCACUAGAUGGCCUCUUGAGGUCGGGUCGUGACACACCUGUGGCCUUCUAAAAGCAUUCAAACCACAUUCUCAGGAGGCUGUUUUCAGCGUUCCUCAUGACACACUCCACUCCUUGUCCUGUUUUCAGGGUCAAGGAGUUACAUUUCCAUGCACAAAUAACAUACACACAGUGCCUCCGUCUUUUUCCAUGCCCCGACCUCAAAUGCUUUGUAUACAAGCUUGAAUUUGUUGCCAUGCACCCCCAACAACCCUCUGCCCAUUUGGCUGGCAAAGCAACUGGUUGUGCCCUCAAUAAACAGUACUGACUUUGGGAACAUCAGGGUCUUCCUAGUCUUGGAACUCUCUACUGUUCAGUUUUUAUAACAAAUUUAUAUGUAAGAAAUACGGGUCCUAGGAAACAGCCUGAAGGACAUGCAAUCCAUUCACUCCAAAUUUUACCUCUGGGGCAAGCUCAAGAGCUAAUUGCUAGGCCCGCAUUUUUUGGGUCCCUGUAUAAUUGCCUUUCCUGAACAAUGCUGUGGUGUUACUCCUUUGGCUUACAGUGAAGGAAGUAAUUAGCCCUAUAUUAAACUUGUUGUUAUGAUUACUAUACGGUUGCUGCUUUGGCUGCGGCCCUUAACAUCACAGUGCCCUAAUAAACUGAGGAUCCACAGAUAAAACUUCUUGUGGGUCUCACGACUAGGAAAAGCCAUGCUUCUCCUGAGCUGCUUCUGGCUUGCUUUUCACUAUAGACUCUGUUAAUCUUGUUACUAUAUACACUUCAUUUGUCCUACCUACUUGUCACAAAGUGAAAUAUGUGACUUGGCUGUAGCAAUUGUACAGAACAUUAUAUUAUGCAUUUGAUGUGGUGGUUUUCCCUCUAGUUUUUUUCCCCCAUGUAUUCUUUAUAGGUUUAUACCUGAGCACUUCUUCUAGUUUUUAUUAUAUAUUUUAUUUCUUUAUUUUUAUGUUUAUUGCAUGUAUCACUAAGAUGGCUCAAAUCUGGUUUUGAAAUAAGAAAGGUCUACAAAUAAAGAA
rnacentral:lncRNA from 1 species